GGAGGUUGGCUUAGAAGCAGCCAUCCUUUAAAGAUAGCGUAACAGCUCACUGGUCAAGCGUUCCUGCGUCGAAAAUGUACCGGGGCUUAAGUUAUUCACCGAAGACGCGGAUGCACACUUUUGUGUGCGUGGUAGCGGAGCGUUCCGUAAGCCUGUGAAGGGGUCCUGCGAGGGGCCUUGGAGGUAUCGGAAGUGAGAAUGCUGACAUGAGUAACGAUAAAAGGGGUGAGAGACCCCUUCGCCGAAAGAUCAAGGUUUCCUGCGCAAUGCUAAUCAGCGCAGGGUUAGCCGGCCCCUAAGGCAAGGCCGAAAGGCGUAGUCGAUGGGAACUCAGUUUAAUAUUACUGGGCCAUUGGGUGGUGACGGAUGACGUGUAUCGUAUUUCCUUAUUGGAUUGGAAGUGCGGUGAAGUUGUCCCAGGAAAUAGCCCCCAUUUAAGACCGUACCCCAAACCGACACAGGUGAUCAGGUAGAAGAUACCAAGGCGCUUGAGAGAACUCUGCUGAAGGAACUCGGCAAAUUACCUCCGUAACUUCGGGAGAAGGAGGCCCACCAUAAAGGCAACUUUUUGGUGGGGGCACAGACCAGGGGGUGGCGACUGUUUAUUAAAAACAUAGGGCUCUGCGAAGUCGUAAGACGACGUAUAGGGUCUGACGCCUGCCCGGUGCUGGAAGGUUAAAAGGAGGAGUGCAAGCUCCGAAUUGAAGCCCCAGUAAACGGCGGCCGUAACUAUAACGGUCCUAAGGUAGCGAAAUUCCUUGUCGGGUAAGUUCCGACCUGCACGAAUGGCGUAACGACUUCCCCACUGUCUCCAGCAGAGACUCAGUGAAAUUGAAUUCCUCGUGAAGAUGCGAGGUACCCGCGGCUAGACGGAAAGACCCCAUGAACCUUUACUACAGCUUCACAGUGGCAUUAGUCAUGAUUUGUGUAGGAUAGGCGGGAGACUUUGAACCGUAGGCGCCAGCUUGCGGGGAGUCGUCCUUGAAAUACCGCCCUGAUCCUGAUUGAUGUCUAACCGCGAACCGUUAUCCGGUUCCGGGACCCUGUGUGGUGGGUAGUUUGACUGGGGCGGUCGCCUCCCAAAGAGUAACGGAGGCGCGCGAAGGUAGGCUCAGUCCGGUCGGAAAUCGGACGUUGAGUGCAAUGGCAUAAGCCUGCCUGACUGCGAGACUGACAAGUCGAGCAGAGACGAAAGUCGGUCAUAGUGAUCCGGUGGUCCCGCAUGGAAGGGCCAUCGCUCAACGGAUAAAAGGUACUCUGGGGAUAACAGGCUGAUGACGCCCAAGAGUCCAUAUCGACGGCGUUGUUUGGCACCUCGAUGUCGGCUCAUCGCAUCCUGGGGCUGGAGAAGGUCCCAAGGGUAUGGCUGUUCGCCAUUUAAAGCGGUACGUGAGCUGGGUUUAGAACGUCGUGAGACAGUUCGGUCCCUAUCUACCGUGGGAGUAGGAGUUUUGAGAGGAUCUGCCCUUAGUACGAGAGGACCGGGGUGGACAUUCCUCUGGUGGAGCUGUUGUCACGCCAGUGGCAUUGCAGCGUAGCUAUGAAUGGACAGGAUAACCGCUGAAAGCAUCUAAGCGGGAAACCCCCCUCAAUACGAGAGCUCCCUUGAGAGUCGUUGUAGACUACAACGUUGAUAGGCUGGGUGUGGAAGCGUGGUAACACGUGGAGCUUACCAGUACUAAUAACUCGAUUGGCUUGAUUCA
rnacentral:rRNA from 1 species